rnacentral:lncRNA from 1 species
GGUGGUGUACACCUGUAAUCCCAGUGUCAGCAGCCACAUAGUAAAUUCAGAACCAGCAUUGGUCACCUGAUAUCCUAUCUGGAGAAGCAGAACAAGAAAUGGUCAAAAGGACUGCGGAAUGGUUCCAGAUAACCUGAUGCAUGAAGACUCAAAACCAAUUCAGUUUAUAUUUUCCAGGCCAGUCAGGACUGGAUUGCAAAAAAAACCCAACUUAAACAAAAAGCAAAAAAUCCCUAAACUCAAAGUGACUGGAUCUCAAGUAAAUCAAGAUGUUAGUGCCUCUGUGGUUUUUCUUUGUCCGUUGGGUGGUGGUGUUUUGCUUUUCAGAUAGAGCCUCACUAUGUGUAGACCCUCCAAGGCUGUAGUCUGUGUUGAUCUCAUUCAGCUAUAUUCAGACAGUCCUCAGCAAGUGCGAGGGUCCCAGGCACGUGCUACCAUGUCUGCCUGUGGGAUGGUUUUCUUUUUGUUUUGUUUGUUUUUGUUUUUCGAGACAGGGUUUCUCUGUGUAUGUAGUCUUGGCCGCCCUGGAACAAGUUUUUGUUUCCAGAAUGCUAGGAUUAAAGGUGUGCACCACCCACUGCCCAGCUCUGGGGUGGUUCUGGAAUUUUCAACAAUCCUGAAUAUGGGUAAAGUGUAGUAAAUGCAUGUGUGUGUUUAUAGAUUACAAACCCAGCCAUCCUCCUCAGCCUCCUGUUUGUAAUUGGUUGGUACUUCAGAGCCAUCGGCUUUGCCGUGUGCUUUCAGCAUAGUUCAGACUGACCCGAAUGGCCUUGUUGAACUCAUCAGUGUUCAGACAUAAGCCAAUGGGCCAUGAAUAGCAAGACUUGGAUCUGCUGAAAGAAAUACAUGCACAAGGACCCAGGUUCAGUCCCCAGCAACCUCCCACAGAGGAAGCAGAAUUAUUAGACUUUGUAAGACUGGAGUCGAAUAAAGCAAAAUAUAGCAAAUCAAAGCAUCUGGGUUUUGUGUACUGAGUAUGUUUUGCCGUGGUCUUUGUACUCUGAAGUUUGUUUUCCUUCUGGGUUGAGAGUGCUACUCAGCUCAUUACUGAAGUGAGUCAUCCUGAGUUCAGCUCCUACUAUCAGAAAAAAGAGACGAUGAUAUUUAAUGGUCUCUUUUUAAGUUAUCAAUAAAGCCAUAAAUCAAGAAGUAGUGGGGGGGGUGGCCACAGUGGUUAUUGAUCUUACCUGAGGAUUUAAAAAUUCCUAUUAGGCCAUCAAGUUGAUGAGUUGAUCAUAAUUAUUGUUAACCUAGACAGGAAGGGUACUCUGGCUUACCCAGAGUGAGGAUGGAAGAAACUAUCUUGGGAGUUUGCUUCUAUAUUUUUUGUUUCUAAAGAACCAAAGGUCCAUGUUUAAAACUACCAACCAACCAUCCUCGAUGGUGCAUGCCUUUAAUUCAGUACUUGGGAGGCGGAGGCAGGCAGAUCUCUGUGAGUUCAAGGUCUGGUCUAUAGAAUUCUAGGUCAGGGCUAUGUAGUGCGACCUUGUCUCAAAAAGCCAACCAACCAAACAAAAAUAAAACAAAACCUCACAUCAAUCAUAAAAAUGCAGUUAAUGACGUUUCUCUUACUAAUGGGUCCUUUUAGGCUGCUCUCUGGUCAGUUUUUGUCUUACUCGUUGUGACUUUUUGCUUUGUCUUGUGGAAUCAGAGCUAACUUAAAACUCUCCACCAUCCUGCCUGUGUCGGCCAAGUGCACCACCUGCUAAGCUUCUUAGUCACUUGUUGUGCUUGUUUGAAAUUGAAGGCGUGUUAGGAUAAGGCCGGUCUGUCUUUGGUGC